UGGGGAAUAUUGCACAAUGGGCGAAAGCCUGAUGCAGCGACGCCGCGUGGGGGAUGACGGUCUUCGGAUUGUAAACCCCUUUCAGUAGGGACGAAGCGCAAGUGACGGUACCUGCAGAAGAAGCACCGGCUAACUACGUGCCAGCAGCCGCGGUAAUACGUAGGGUGCGAGCGUUGUCCGGAAUUACUGGGCGUAAAGAGCUCGUAGGCGGUUUGUCACGUCGUCUGUGAAAUCCCUCGGCUUAACCGGGGGCGUGCAGGCGAUACGGGCAGACUUGAGUACUACAGGGGAGACUGGAAUUCCUGGUGUAGCGGUGAAAUGCGCAGAUAUCAGGAGGAACACCGGUGGCGAAGGCGGGUCUCUGGGUAGUAACUGACGCUGAGGAGCGAAAGCAUGGGUAGCGAACAGGAUUAGAUACCCUGGUAGUCCAUGCCGUAAACGGUGGGCGCUAGGUGUGGGGUCCUUCCACGGACUCCGUGCCGUAGCUAACGCAUUAAGCGCCCCGCCUGGGGAGUACGGCCGCAAGGCUA
rnacentral:rRNA from 1 species